UGUUCAAUUGGGCAGAACACACUAAAAUGGGAACAGUACAGAGGAAAAUAUCAUGGCCUUUGUACAAGGAUGACAUGCAAAUUCAUGAAGUUGUCCUCCCCUCC
ensembl:snRNA LOC120099428 U6 spliceosomal RNA